rnacentral:misc_RNA from 1 species
GAUGAAGAACGCAGCGAAAUGCGAUACGUAAUGUGAAUUGCAGAAUUCAGUGAAUCAUCGAAUCUUUGAACGCAUAUUGCGCUCUUUGGUAUUCCGAAGAGCAUGCUUGUUUGAGUAUCAGUAAACAUCUCAACCUCUUCUUGAUUUUUCAAAAGGAGGGUGGACUUGAGCUAUCCCAACAACCUUUACCGGUCGGCGGGCGGCUUGAAAUGCAGGUGCAGCUGGACUUUUAUCUGAGCUAAAAGCAUAUCUAUUUAGUCCUCGUCAAACAGGAUUAUUACUUUUGCUGCAGCUAACAUAAAGGAUAAUUGUCCUCUUUGCUGACUGAUGCAGGAUUUUACGACACUUUAUGUGUUGUUCAACUCGAUCUCAAAUCAAGUAAGACUACCCGCUGAACUUAAGCAUAUCAAUAAGCGGAGGA